AGGCGGGCGGCGCGGAGGAGGGGGUCCGGGGAGCCGGGGGCGGGCUGGGGGCGUGGCGUGGCGCGCCGCGGGCCCGCGACCCGGACCCCGGCCCUGCCCCUCCUCCCCCAGAGCGGCCAGCGUCAGCGGCCACAGCCGUAGGCACCCGAGGGCGCCCCGGGCGGGAUCGCGCUGGAGAUGGCGGCGGCGGCGGCUGUGAGCGGCGCCAAGCGGAGCCUGCGGGCCGAGCUGAAGCAGCGUCUGCGGGCCAUCAGCGCCGAGGAGCGACUGCGCCAGUCCCGCCUACUGACCCAGAAGGUGAUUGCCCACCGGCAGUAUCAGAAAUCCCAGAGAAUCUCCAUCUUCCUGAGCAUGCCGGAUGAAAUCGAGACAGAAGAGAUCAUCAAGGAUAUCUUCCAGCAAGGCAAAGUCUGCUUUAUCCCCCGCUACCGGUUGCAGAGCAAUCACAUGGAUAUGGUGAAAUUAGCGUCAGCAGACGAAAUUUCUUCACUUCCUAAAACCUCCUGGAACAUUCAUCAGCCGAGUGAGAGUGACACGCGGGAGGAGGCCUUGGCCACCGAUGCGCACAUGCAGAUGAGCAGAGAAGGCUAUGGAAGAGAAGAACCCAGCGCACCGGGAAGGCUGUUCUCUCUGGAGGGCGGCUCGCAGGGCAGGCCCACUCACCCCGGGGAGCCUGAAACCCACGCCUGUGCCGGGGCCGAGUAGCGGAGCUCAACACACCGCAUGCACACGGCACAGCAAACGCGAGGCGAGGGAUUCUCACACGCGCCGAUGGGGACAUGGAAAGUUUUCCACUCCUGUCCUCUGGUGGCUGAACCCAGGAUCCAAGCAUCGGAAACUGCACAAGGAAAUUAAUCACGGUAAGAGAGUGCCAGCAGACACAGGUAAGAAUGUGCAUCCCACAAAAGGGAGGAACGUGCUGCAUGAUAAAAUUCUCCAGUGGGUAUGAAGGUGCCGCAAAAUAUUCCUGGAAAAAUGCACAUUAUCUGUGCUUUCCAUCGCCCAUGGACUUCCCCAAGUAUCCUCAUCUAUUUAAGGCACUUAAGAAAUAAGUCAGGAAAUGUGACUUUCCAACGGAACGGGCUGCUAUAAAAAUAAUUUUUUAAAAAACCCGUACAGUUUGAAGUUAAAACUCGGCUGAUGGAUGAGACAGAUCCGUCUCAGCUGACAAGAGAGUGGGUGAACUGGAAGAGAUGGAUGAGGAAGCCUUUGAGCGGAGCUUAAGGACAUGGAGAGGUAGAAAACUCGAGAAAGUUAAGAGGAAUGAGAGAGAAACAAACAGAAGGUUGUCCAGCGCUCACCUGCUGGGAAUUCUAGCAGGGUAAAACUGAAGGGCAUCGUGAACAUAGUAGGUUCUUUGCUUAUUAAAACACUCUAAUAAUUAGGAAUCCAGAGCAAGUGUGCCUGCUCCUGCGUGAGCCGUGUUCUGCACCUGCUGUCCCAGCCACUUUCCCCUCACUCCAUUUGGUGUGGGCGGGUGAACAAACUCAGGAAAUUAUGUGGUUUUAGCCACCUUCUGGUCCUAUGGUGUCUAUUAAAGGUUUUUGUGUGGACAUAUAUUUUUAUUUAAUCAAAGCUAGUUUAGGGGGCCGGUGCUGUGGUGUAGCAGGUAAAGCCGCCGCCUUCAGUGUCGGCAUCCCAUAUGGGCACCGGUUUGAAUCCCGGCUGCUCCACUUCUGAUCAAGCUCUCUGCUGUGGCCUGGGAAAGCAGGAGAAGAUGGACCAAGUCCUUGGGCCCCUGCAACUGCAUGGGAGACCCGAAGGAAGCUCCUGGCUCCCGGCUUUGGAUCGGCACAGCUCCGGCCAUUGCAACCAAUUCUCCCUCUCUGCCUCUCCUUGUCUCUCUGUGUAACUCUUUCAAGUAAAUAAAUAAAUCUUUUUUUUAAAAAAAAGCUAGUUUACUCCCCAAAAACCCAAAAUGGCAUGGACUGGGCCAGGAGCCUGGCACUCCAGCCAGGUCUCAUGUGAGUGGCAGGAACCCACGUCUUGGGCCAUCCCUGCCACCCCCAGGUUUGCAUUAGCAGGGAGCUGGAAUCUGGAGGCCCCCAGGCCAGCACUGGACCCAGGCACUGUGAUGUGGAAUGUGGUGUCCUGUGCGGCCGUUUGAGUGCCAGGCUGAAUACCCACUGCACCUGUUAUUUCAACUGAGUUGUCUUUUUAUUGUUGAGUGUAGACUCUCAACUGCUUUAGGCAAUUUUGGCCCAGAUUCUUGUGACUUCUAUGGAGAAGAGAAUAUUUAGAGGUUCCUAUUUUGCCAUUUUGACUCAUAUCUUUAGCAUCUUUCAGCGUGUUCAACAUUGUCAUACUGUCUUUGGUGAAGUGUUUAUUCAAGUGUUUUGUCUUUUUUUUUUUUUUUGAUUCGGUUGUUUAUUUUCAUUUUGGUUGCAUUUUCUUAAACUUCACAAUUUGAGAUUUGCAGAGAAGUUGCAGAAAUUCUGCAGAGACUUAUUGCUGUGGAUUCGUUCUGAGAGGAGGAACGCGGUGGGGGCAAGAGGCGCAGAGUCACCACACAGACCCCGGGAGUUGGGUGAAAGCAGGCCAGAGAAAAUCUGUAAAGAUGGUGAACGGCAGAGGAAAUCCGACUCCAGGCAGCAGAUCGUGCCAGUCCCUUGAUGCCGGUUUAACCGCCUUUUGGGUAUUUUGUGCCAAAAGGAGUGCGAGGCAACAACGUGGCAAACAGUGACCCUACGAGGCCACGCCUCCAUACUGGUCUCCUCUGGUCUGUGUCUGCAACUCCAAGACUGCUUCAGAAAUCCAGACUUGCAG